CGUGGGGUGGUAAAAUGGUAAUUUCCGAGGAACACCAAAGGCAAGGCAUGUCCUGGGAAGAUUGAGGUUCAGGUGCGAAGUUAGGGAGCGGACAGGAUUAGAUACCCUGUAGUCCUAGCCGUAACGAUGACCACUAGACGUUGGGGUAUCGACCCCUUCAGUGUCGCAGUUAACACAAUAAGUGUUCCGCCUGGGGAGUACGUUCGCAAGAUUAAAACUCAAAGGAAUGACGGGGACCCGCACAAGCAGCGGAGCGUGUGGUUUAAUUCGAUGCAACGCGAAGAACCUUACCAAGGCUUGACAUGGACCUGCACCAGCCGUAACGGGCUGUCCCUUCGGGGCGGGUUCACAGGUGCUGCAUGGCUGUCGUCAGUUCGUGUCGUGAGAUGUUGGGUUAAGUCCCGCAACGAGCGCAACCCCUGUCGUUAGUUGGAUUUCUCUAGCGAAACUGCCGUUAUAAGACGGAGGAAGGCGGGGAUGACGUCAAGUCAGCACGGCCCUUACGCUUUGGGCGACACACACGCUACAAUGGUCAGGACAAAGAGUUGCCAACCCGCGAGGGGGAGCUAAUCUCGUCAAACCUGGCCUCAGUUCAGAUUGGAGGCUGAAACCCGCCUCCAUGAAGGUGGAGUUGCUAGUAACCGUAGGUCAGCACACUACGGUGAAUACGUUCCCGGGUCUUGUACACACCGCCCGUCACACCAUGGGAGUUGGUUUUACCCGAAGGCGCUGCGCCAACCCGCAAGGGAAGCAGGCGACCACGGUAGGGUCAGCGACUGGGGUGAAGUCGUAACAAGGUAAAUCGAAUUCCCGCGGCC
rnacentral:rRNA from 1 species